rnacentral:rRNA from 1 species
CACAUGCAAGUCGAGGGGCAGCAUGGUCUUAGCUUGCUAAGGCUGAUGGCGACCGGCGCACGGGUGAGUAACACGUAUCCAACCUGCCGUCUACUCUUGGCCAGCCUUCUGAAAGGAAGAUUAAUCCAGGAUGGGAUCAUGAGUUCACAUGUCCGCAUGAUUAAAGGUAUUUUCCGGUAGACGAUGGGGAUGCGUUCCAUUAGAUAGUAGGCGGGGUAACGGCCCACCUAGUCAACGAUGGAUAGGGGUUCUGAGAGGAAGGUCCCCCACAUUGGAACUGAGACACGGUCCAAACUCCUACGGGAGGCAGCAGUGAGGAAUAUUGGUCAAUGGGCGAUGGCCUGAACCAGCCAAGUAGCGUGAAGGAUGACUGCCCUAUGGGUUGUAAACUUCUUUUAUAAAGGAAUAAAGUCGGGUAUGCAUACCCGUUUGCAUGUACUUUAUGAAUAAGGAUCGGCUAACUCCGUGCCAGCAGCCGCGGUAAUACGGAGGAUCCGAGCGUUAUCCGGAUUUAUUGGGUUUAAAGGGAGCGUAGAUGGAUGUUUAAGUCAGUUGUGAAAGUUUGCGGCUCAACCGUAAAAUUGCAGUUGAUACUGGAUGUCUUGAGUGCAGUUGAGGCAGGCGGAAUUCGUGGUGUAGCGGUGAAAUGCUUAGAUAUCACGAAGAACUCCGAUUGCGAAGGCAGCCUGCUAAGCUGCAACUGACAUUGAGGCUCGAAAGUGUGGGUAUCAAACAGGAUUAGAUACCCUGGUAGUCCACACGGUAAACGAUGAAUACUCGCUGUUUGCGAUAUACGGCAAGCGGCCAAGCGAAAGCGUUAAGUAUUCCACCUGGGGAGUACGCCGGCAACGGUGAAACUCAAAGGAAUUGACGGGGGCCCGCACAAGCGGAGGAACAUGUGGUUU